GACGGGACCCGCACAAGCAGCGGAGCAUGUGGUUUAAUUCGAAGCAACGCGAAGAACCUUUACCAGAUCUUGACAUCCAAUUGACCAUCUUUUAAUCGAGAUUUUGCCUUCGGGUACAAUUGAGACAGGUGGUGCAUGGUUGUCGUCAGCUCGCGUCGUGAGAUGUUGGGUUAAGUCCCGCAACGAGCGCAACCCUUGUGUUUAGUUGCAAACAGGUCAAGCUGUGCACUCUAGACAGACUGCCGUGGACAACACGGAGGAAGGUGGGGAUGACGUCAAAUCAUCAUGCCCCUUAUGAUCUGGGCUACACACGUGCUACAAUGGCCGGUACAACGGGCAGCGAAGGAGCGAUCCGGAGCGAAUCCUAAAAAGCCGGUCCCAGUUCGGAUUGCAGGCUGAAACUCGCCUACAUGAAGUUGGAGUUGCUAGUAAUCGCGAAUCAGAAUGUCGCGGUGAAUGCGUUCCCGGGUCUU
rnacentral:rRNA from 1 species